GAAGACCUUAGCUUAAUUAAAGUGUCUGAGUUGCAUUCAGAAUAUGUGAGUUAAUCUUGCAGGUCUUA
rnacentral:tRNA from 1 species